rnacentral:rRNA from 1 species
GACGAACGUUGGCGGCGUGCUUAACACAUGCAAGUCGAGCGAUGAAGUUCCUUCGGGAAUGUAUUAGCGGCGGACGGGUGAGUAGCACGUGGGUAACAUGCCUCAUAGAGGGGAAUAGCUUUCCGAAAGGAAGAUUAAUACCGCAUAAGAUUGUAGUACCGCAUGGUACAGCAAUUAAAGGAGCAAUCCGUUAUGAGAUGGACUCGUGUCGCAUUAGCUAGUUGGGGGGGUAACGGCCUACCAAGGUGGCGAUCGGUAGAUGGUCUGAGAGGACGAUCAGCCACACGGGGACUGAGACACGGCCUCAACUCCAUCGGGAGGCAGCAGCGAGGAAUUUUGCGCGAUGGGCGAAAGCCUGACGCAGCAACGCCGCGUGGGCGAUGAAGGCCUUCGGGUUGUAAAGCCCUUUUGCGGGGGAAGAAGUUCUGACGGUACCCCGCGAAAAAGCCACGGCUAACUACGUGCCAGCCGCCGCGGUAA